AGACGGGUGGGGAUGGGGUUAUCAGAGACGCCUUUAGCAUGAGCCAGGCUUGGGUGCACUGAGCUGUGAGGAGCAGGUGGGCCUUUUAGGGGGCAGAAGCUGAAAGCCAGUGCCUGGGGCAGGUGGGUAUGAGGUGAGUAUGGGUUGCAGGUCCCUCUGGCUGGAGAGGACGGAAGUACAUAGAUCAGACCACAGAGGGACUUGUGGGCCACUGCAGGCUGCCACAUAGCUUAAAUUUUCCCUAAGAAUGAGGCCAGUCCCGAUAGGUCUAGAAGUGACAUGCUAAAAAUCAGUCACUUGAGCCUGGCCCCACUGAAGAUCAAAGAUCUUAUCCUAUAAACGAAAUGCAGUCACUUCUCAGCCAGGCGAUGACCUAAAUUACAGCCAGCAGAAAACACAGGCAUUUUCUAACGUUCACAUCAUCCGUCUCUAAGACUUCGUGGGAACUUCCAAUGGAGGACAGUGAGGGUGAACGGUGACAUGCCUACAAGUGCAAAGGGGGAUGCACUAGCAACGAUGUCCUCGUCCUUUUAUUUUCCUCUGUGUUGAGUUUUGCACCCCUUAAGAUGACACGGCGACUAUUUCCCCCCAAAUUAUUACACUUCAAAGUCGCUUUGGCUGGUAGAAUGUCUCUGAGCUCCACCCACAUUUCCCCUCUCUCAGCCCUUUUGGGGUCUGUUUCCAGGAGUCCCAUCCCCUGGGGCAGCCGCUCUGCAGAGCUGGGCUCCAGCCCGGGAACUGCAGCCGUCUCAGCUCUGCUUCCUCUCUCCCUCUCUCUUCGGCUGCAACAGCUCACGCAGCCUCAGAAGCACUCCACCCCAUCCAAAGAUACAUCUUGGCAGAGAAAAUCAAGACAGAUUUUGUUUUAAAAGGUAGGCGAUGGCAGAGCCACUUUCUUCCCUGGAAGAAAGUCUACAGCCAGGCAACCUGCUGGCUUCAUCCUCCAAUGCCUGUGGACGACGGUUGAAGGAGGAAAAUGUCUUUAGAAGGAGACUGUGGCCGCCUGAAGGAGCUUGGAGAGAGGUCCCACUCAGCUCAGCAAACACCUACCGGAUGGGAGCCCAGCCCGAUGUUGCCGGGUGCAAGACCCCCCAGCGCCGAGCCUCUGGGACUGAGCUAGGUUGAGCCUGAACUGAGUCACGGGGCAGGGAGAGCCCGGGCACGGUGCAAUCCGACAGAGACAGAAAGCCUGCGAGCUGGAGGUGGAACCCACUUCCCUCUGAGCUCACCGCGACACAGGCGGCAAUCGUAGAGCAUUUUACAGCCCCCAAGCAUUGAGACACACGCUGUCCAUUUGAUUCUCACCGUAGCCCUGCGAGAAACGCGCUCUCAGGCUUGUUUCCGAGGUGAGAAAACAAGAGGCACGGAGAGGCUAACUGGCUUGCCCCAGGUGUCCCAGAGCCAGCACCUGGAGGAGCCGGGGCUGCCGAGCGUCCGACCGCACACCUUGGCUCCACGCCUCGACCGUCUGGGAUGCAGCCAGCAGGCUGAGGCCCACGCUCGGGGGAAUGACCCCAGGCAUGAGCUGUGUGACCAGCUUAGCUCUGUGUGAGUCACUGAAACUGUUUCGGCUUCAUUUUAACCCAGCUGCAUGCGGGAGGGGACUGACUCCAGCUCUCACACCCUCCCAGAAGGAAGGCAGAACUACUUGGCAUGCAGGAGAAAUGAGGAGAAGCAGACUACACGCUUCCUGUGCAUUCUGUCCCUCGGAGGAUGAUCACACCAAGAACCGAGAACACAGAAGGAGAUCUUCAAACCUGACAACAUUAGCAAACCUCACAAGGCUAUUAUAAAGACAACAUGGAAUACAGCAUACUGUGAGCCCCUCGAGGGAAGGGACUAGAUCUUCUUCAUCUUGAGUACAAAGAGCAGAGUGAGGGCCCAGUGUCUGAGGGGCUGAGGAUGGUGGCCUGAUACCUUUAGGGCUUCAAAAAGCUGGGCCCUCUGUCCUGCAGUGUGGAGCCCAAAAGGCAUCCAGAGGAAGGAAAGGGAAGGUGCUGGGGAGGCCCUGACACCUGAGGACAGCUGUGAGCAGGUGAAGGAGAAGGAGGGAGAGGACCUCAAGGUGCCUGCCCUCUCUAAGCCUCUCUACACGGUGAAGACUGGACAGUCAUGCACAUCUGUUCGGUUCAAUUCAUCCAUUCAAUCGAUUCACAUUUUUGGAGCACUGACUCCAGAAGGUUCUUUUAGGCAAAUCUCCAUUCUCUAUUCAGCCUUCCCCAGACCACUAUGAAGUGUGCGGCACCCACACUGCCUGUCCCUACUCCCACAACCAUGACAGCCAUGGCUAAUGGGUCAGAGUGUCUGUCACCUGGUGUCAUCUCAGAGUCCUUCUCCAUAAAGCAGCCAUUCCUGAUGAAUGUGGUUCUGACUUGGCCUGAAAGCUACUUCCCAUCUUUGGCCCAGACCUUAGAUCACUGCACACGUCCUGAGGCCCCCAUCAAUUUCAGAAGCUUGUAAUUUCCCCCACCAAAAUGCUACCAUGCUUCAAUUCUUUCCACCUUUCUUUAUAGAAGAACUUUUCUCACCCACUGCUAGAAAGAGGAGAGAGCCGUUAGGUAUUAAGAAGGUGAAAAGCAGGCAGACAAAAGUACAAGUCUCCCACCUUUAUCCACUCACAUUUGGAAGGUGUUUGGAAAGAUCUCAAGCCUUGGAUUAGGAUGAUGGAGUUAAAUGCGAUUCUUUCUGUAUUUUCAUUUUCUCGAAUUCUGUAUUAAGUACGCAUUACUUUUCUAAGUAGGAGAAACGCAUUUUGUAAAAGUACAUUUUAUUUUAAAAAGUUACUCAGACUUAGUAUUACGUACUCUUUCGUACCUUGUGAACAACAAACCAUGUGACUAUACUACCUAAUAAAAAAAUAAGUACAUUAAAA